rnacentral:tRNA from 1 species
ACCUGGGUGGCUCAGUCAGUUGAGCGUCUGACUUCAGUUCAGGUCAUGAUCUCAUGGUUUGUGGGUUCAAGCCCCGCAUCAGGCU